GACAGUCACCACCAUCACUGAGCAGCAUAUCAAAGACAUUUGUGCACAUUAACUGCAUGUUGUGGGUCAAAUGUUUGUGCAUGUUGGAGGCAUUUCCUCUUUGUUGUGAUCAGUGUUGAGUCAUUACUCAAAAAAGUCUUUAUUACACAGUCUCAUAACGACCACCUAACAAUAUAAAGCUGAGGUUACAGCCCCACACACCAACACAGAGCCUGAUGAGGUCACGUGAUGUUUCUCUGAGUGUUUAUGAACACAAAUCAAAGAUGAAACAGCACAAAGACACUUCAAAGUGAUUCUACUGUAGAAACAUGAACAGGUAGAAACCUGCAGCCUGACUGCUCAUCACUGUGUUACCUGUUCAAGUUCAGCAGCAGCAGCUCACUUUAUCACGGUGCUGGUCUGGGGUCAGUAUUUACUCAGCUUUCACGUCACUCUGGGUUCUUGGCUAGCUUAGCUUUAGCUUGGCGGUAGCUUAGCGUUUGCGCUGUGUCAGGUGUCUUCUGUGUCAUGUGUAAAUAUUAAUCACAGUGACAGUAUAGGGCUUUGGAGCGUGAUGUCACGGGAGGUGGGCCACGCCCCCUUUCGCCAUGACAGUAGGCCAGACACAGGAUACAGCUUCAGCUAUGGUUCGUACGUGAUGUGGUGGCAGUUGCAAUGUUAGAUUACACGAUCGUGAAGGCAAGAAGCUGGAUAAUGGGCUCUCUUUUCAUCAUUUUUCAUCCUGGAGGCAACGUGAGGGAUCCCAUGUAUCCGAUAUUACUAAACAAAGACGUCAGGCUUGCAUUGCAGCGGUGAGACGAGCGGAUCGAGUUCUGUGCAAUCCCCAGCUUUUUGUUGGUUUGCUCUCCGCAUUUUCUUUCCGGCUUUUGUUAUGCAGCUGCAGAGUCUGAAGGUGUGCCGCGUGCAGAAGUGAUCGAUGACGAUCUGACAGAAGACCAACAACAAAAUCACCAUGUCAUGGAGGCAGUGGACAGCAGUUGUGUUGGAUAAGUGAGGUUGAGGUACCAGCUGCAAAUGUGGACAGUGGUGAUCGGACAGACAGCAUCACGGAAGCUAAAGGGCAGACGAAGGAUUGUGUGUGCAAUGAACAGGGCAGAGUAGAAAUAAACACAACACUGCUUGAUAAGAUUGUUAAGGUUUGCUGUGUUUUGCUGAAUAUGUGCCCCAGUGUGGUUGUCAAACCCGCGCCUAAUGAAACUUGCUCUUGUUGAGUAUUCAUAAAGCUGUUGUGUUG
ensembl:lncRNA